UAUAUUCCGUUCAGUCGUAAAUUGAGAGCGAAGCAUAUCACGUACAAAAAUUAAAAUAAAAUAAAUAAAUACUAAUAAUAAAUUAUAAAUAAAAUACAAUUUUUUGAGCAACCAUAAAGUGAACUUACAAGAACAAGCGAAGAUGGGAAACGAAGCAUCAAAAGUUCUAAUUGCAAAUAAAGGUUUAAAAGUUAACGCUAAUGCACCGAAUUCUCACUCUGGUGGAAGUGAAAUAAAUUUACAAGAGGUAAUUCAAACUGUCGCUAAUGAUCCGAAUGUUGAUGCCGCUGAAGCAAGUGAAAUAAAUGUAGAAACGGCAAUGCAAGAUAUAUUAGAUUGUUCGCGUCAAGAUGAAGCCCAAGAAUCAUAUUUAUCGGCAGCAGUCCCAUUUACUAUUCGUCAAUACCGCGAUGUUGGCACACAAACAGAGGUAAUAAGAACCUCUUGUAAGCGUGCUAAACGUUUCAUUCCUGAUGGUGUCGAUGCAAAGCGUCCAACGCGUUUUAAGUGAAUUUUUCAUUUUGUUGAAAACUAAAGACACAGUUAAUUUCAUAUUUAAAAUUAAUUUCAAAAAACGUUUAUAGCUAUUCAGCUUAUUAUUCAAAUGGGUAAAAAUUAAAUAAUUAGCAGUUUGAACAGAAAAUUCUAUUAAAGAGAAAAUUUCAGAGUUGAUGUCCAUCUUUUAUUUAUUUAUGUAAUAAAAACACAGAUCCAAAAAAAAAUAUUAUAAGCGUUUACAUAUGUUUAGGAUGUCAAGCAAUCACUUCUUAUUUUAAUCUUAACAAUUAGGAUCAAAAGUAAGUCUAAUAUCAAAUUAAGCGCAAUCUUGUGCACACAAAUGAUUAUGAUGUCGAGGAACUUUAAGGCAAUUGUUAAUUAAAUAGAUGCUUGACUUAAAAAUCAAAAAUAUUACAAAAUCAUAAAAUCAAAUAAGCUCCAAACAAUCUUAGAGGAUUCAAUAACGAGAAUAAAUCAAAUGAAAAUUGAUUUAUUUUUUAAAGGGUUCUAAAGCACAUUUCGUUAAUUUCAACUUGAAAUGUUAAUUCUGAAAUGAAAUAAAAUUUUAAAGCAAAAAGCAAAACAGAAA